AGAGUUUGAUCCUGGCUCAGGAUGAACGCUAGCGGCAGGCCUAAUACAUGCAAGUCGGACGGGAUCCGGAGGAGAGCUUGCUCGAUUUCGGUGAGAGUGGCGCACGGGUGCGUAACGCGUGAGCAACCUACCCAUAUCAGGGGGAUAGCCCGGAGAAAUCCGGAUUAACACCGCAUAACAACAGGAUAUCGCAUGAUGACCUGUUUAAAUAUUUAUAGGAUAUGGAUGGGCUCGCGUGACAUUAGCUAGUUGGCGGGGUAACGGCCCACCAAGGCGACGAUGUCUAGGGGCUCUGAGAGGAGAAUCCCCCACACUGGUACUGAGACACGGACCAGACUCCUACGGGAGGCAGCAGUAAGGAAUAUUGGUCAAUGGGGGCAACCCUGAACCAGCCAUGCCGCGUGCAGGAUGACUGCCCUAUGGGUUGUAAACUGCUUUUGUCCGGGAAUAACCCCCUCUACGAGUAGAGGGCUGAAUGUACCGGAAGAAUAAGGAUCGGCUAACUCCGUGCCAGCAGCCGCGGUAAUACGGAGGAUCCGAGCGUUAUCCGGACUUAUUGGGUUUAAAGGGUGCGUAGGCGGCCAUUUAAGUCAGUGGUGAAAGACGGCAGCUCAACUGUCGCAGUGCCUUUGAUACUGAAUGGCUUGAAUGCUGUUGAAGAUGGCGGAAUGAGACAAGUAGCGGUGAAAUGCAUAGAUAU
rnacentral:rRNA from 1 species